rnacentral:rRNA from 1 species
GACGAACGCUGGCGGCGCGCUUAACACAUGCAAGUCGAGCGAAGCGGCGGACGGGUGAGUAACACGUGAGUAACCUGCCUUAGACAUUGGGCUCGCCUCGGGAAACCGGGAUUACUACCAAAUGUUCUAAGAUGGACUCGCGUCCCAUUAGUUAGUUGGUGAGGUAACGGCCCACCAAGGCGGCGAUGGGUAGCCGGCCUGAGAGAGAUAACGGCCACAUUGGAACUGAGAAACGGUACAAACUCUACGGGAGGCAGCAGUGGGGAAUAGUGCACAAUGGAGGGAACUCUGAUGCAGCGAGGCCGCGUGAACGAAGAAGGCUUACGAGACGUAAAGUUCUUUUAUAUGGGAAGCGGUACCAUAAGAAAAAGCCCCGGCUAACUACGUGCCAGCAGCCGCGGUAAUAC